ensembl:snoRNA
GGCCUCCUGGUGCUACGCACAGGCUGCGUCCCUACACUGACAACGCUGGAGGAGGAGGCAGAGCAGACCUCGUGCCUGCUCUGUGUUGUGAAUGGGGGGACAUGG